AUUGAACGCUGGCGGAAUGCUUUACACAUGCAAGUCGAACGGCAGCACGGGUGCUUGCACCUGGUGGCGAGUGGCGAACGGGUGAGUAAUGUAUCGGAACGUAUCCAAUAAUGGGGGAUAACUAACCGAAAGGUUAGCUAAUACCGCAUACGCCCUACGGGGGAAAGCAGGGGAUCUUCGGACCUUGCGUUAAUGGAGCGGCCUAUCAGCUAGUUGGUGGGGUAACGGCCCACCAAGGCGACGACGGGUAGCCGGCCUGAGAGGGCGACCGGCCACACUGGGACUGAGACACGGCCCAGACUCCUACGGGAGGCAGCAGUGGGGAAUAUUGCGCAAUGGGCGAAAGCCUGACGCAGCGACGCAGCGUGAGGGACGAAGGCCUUCGGGUUGUAAACCUCUUUCAGCGGGGACGAAGCGAAAGUGACGGUACCCGCAGAAGAAGCACCGGCUAACUACGUGCCAGCCGCCGCCGUAAGAC
rnacentral:rRNA from 1 species